AGAUUUACAGAGUGCUUUUACUCUUCAAAGAGCAUUUUUUUUUCUGGCUUUUUUUUUUUUUUUUUGAGAUGGGGUCUUGCUCUGUUGCCCAGGCUGGUCUUGAACUCCUGGCCUCAAGCAAUCCUCUCGCCUCGACCUCACAAGAUGCUGGGAUUACAGACAUGAGCCACUGUGCCCGGCCCAAAAGGCAUUCUUACAAAACCGUGCAAUCCCUGCUAAGUGGAUAUUAUUAAUUCUGUUUCCUUGAUGAGGAAGCUGGGGCUCACAGCCACUGUUAGCGGGGUUGGGAAGUGAGAAUCUCUGCCUCGAGACACAGCAACAAGUUGUUUGUCCCACAUCAUGCUGGGGUGGCUGGGAGGGGAUAGGGUGAGACAGGGAGCAGCUACUCCACUGAAGACCAGGCCAUGCAGAGGGGAUGAGAAGGGCAGCGUUACCUCCCGAGAGGCUACUCCAAGGAGAGCGGCUCGGGGUCACUGUUUCCCCCUUUUCAGGCUGGCCCGCUUCACUAUCUGCGCCCCCUUCCUGCCCUCUAUCAGGUCCGGCUGUAGGCCACUCCCUCUCAGCUCCACCUGCAGACAGCAGCAGAGACAGAAAGCAGGACAGAUCGCAAAGACGGGCAGAACACAGGCAGAAGAUCGAAAGGAGGCCACACGGAGGCGGCAGACACACUGCCCACCGGGGAGAAGGGAGACUGGAGAGAGAGCUCGUAAAGACGACACCAAAUGGCCCUCUCGGCUGAAGCAGCCUGGCCCAAGUGCCCUUCUGCCCAGCAGCCCGGCUCUGCCCUGAGUGGCCCGGGUGACAUCACGCUCCUAUAAUUUUAGCUCCCCAAACCAGCUGCCGGAGCUGUCCAACCGGGCUAGAAGGAAGCCGGCAGGUGCCCAUGUCCUGAGCACUGAAAGCACAAGUGAAAGUCACUGUGUGAGUGACACCCACUGCUGCCUAACCCCGCCCUGCCCAGAGAGCUGGAAGUGGGGGCUCGGCCUCUCGCCUAUCCUACCCAUCCCCACGGGAACUAGAAAGAGUUCUGCCCAGGGAAAGUUUCUUACUUUCAGAAAAUAAUACGGUCCGAGAAAGCAGCUA
rnacentral:antisense_RNA from 1 species